AGGUAGGCUCUCUAGGAAUCUGGGAGUAGUAGCGGGGGGGGCAAGAGCAAAUAAAGAGCUCGAGCUUCUGUGGUCUCUGGGGAGAUGUUCCCGGGAAGCCUGGCUAGAGGGCGGAGGGCAGCUGUUGAGAUGGCGUGGCUUCCCGGCUCCUGCGCCCGCGUGGCUUUCGCGGCGGUCGCUGCGGCCCGGCAUUGGACAGCCUGGCAGGGCAGCGCGGGGCCGAAUCUGGCUGCCGUGGCAGAGGCUCAUGGAUCACUCCUUUGUGGUAGGGCCACAUCUGCCAGAGCCUGGAGUCUGCGAAGGCCGGGACCCGGUUCCCCGGCCCGCCGUGGGGAGUGUGCAAACCCGAGAGAACUGGGUUGCAAAUUCGUGAAGAAUCAGCAGCAUGUUUGGCAGCUGAGUAUUGGAGCCAGGAGCCUGCCAUGAGGUUAUAUUCCCAGAGGAUGUCAGUCCCAAGGACCAGUAGCUGCCAUCAGUUUGGAUUCUGAAAACUAACCGGCAUCAACAUUGGGUGUAGAAACAUGCUUGCCUUGUGUAUCAGAGGACAUGCUCAGCAGAUCCAAGAGAUAUAUUUGGCAACUUUUUCUAGAAAAGGCACAUUAGGUAUCAUUCAUUACAUUCUUGAGUUUUUUUGGGGUUUUUUUUUUUUUUGAGACAGUCUUGCUGUGUUGCCCAGGCUGGAGUGUGGUGGCACAAUCACAGCUCAUUGCAGCCUCAAUCACCCAGGCCUAAGCAAUCCUCCCACCUUGUAGCUGGGACUACAGCUCACAGCACACCUGGCUAAAAUUUUUUUUUGUUGAGACGGAUUCUCUAUGUUGCUCAGGCUGGUCUCAAGCUCCUGGGCUUAGAUGGUCCUCCUGCCUCAGCUUCCAAAGGCACAGGCCAAGUUGUAGCUUUGUCCCUUGCCAUCAUGCCCAACAAGAGGUUCUAUACCUUUUAAUGAACUGACUUUCAUAAAUUGGUUAUGUUGGUGGGCAAGUUCUUUAAGCUGGAAAUUGUAAAUUCCUCCUGAAAUGUUUUUUCAUGCAGUUACCAUGAACUAAUACUACAAUAAA
rnacentral:antisense_RNA from 1 species